rnacentral:rRNA from 1 species
GACGAACGCUGGCGGCGUGCUUAACACAUGCAAGUCGAGCGGUAAGGCCCUUUCGGGGGUACGACGAGCGGCGAACGGGUGAGUAACACGUGGGUGACCUGCCCUCAGCUCUGGGAUAAGCCUGGGAAACCGGGUCUAAUACUGGAUAUGACUCCAUGACGCAUGUUGUAGGGUGGAAAGCCUUGUGCGGCUGGGGAGUGGGCCCGCGGCCUAUCAGCUUGUUGGUGGGGUGAUGGCCUACCAAGGCGACGA